rnacentral:rRNA from 1 species
UACGUAGGGCGCGAGCGUUUAUCCGGAAUUAUUGGGCGUAAAGAGCUCGUAGGCGGCUUGUCGCGUCGACUGUGAAAUCCCGCGGCUCAACUGCGGGUCUGCAGUCGAUACGGGCAGGCUAGAGUUCGGUAGGGGAGACUGGAAUUCCUGGUGUAGCGGUGAAAUGACGCAGAUAUCAGGAGGAACACCGGUGGCGAAGGCGGGGUCUCUGGGCCGAUACUGACGCUGAGGAGCGAAAGCGUGGGGAGCGAACAGG